GGUGCCUUGCCAGUAACUCGCUGGGCAAUCCACCCUAGGCCAUCAUACAGACCUUCACCUGUAAGAGCACAGCAUGCUUGGAUGUGCCAAUCAUGAUUCUUUAUGCUGUGAAGAGAGAAAGCAUCGGUGAUCUCAGCUGGGGUCAUGGCAUCUUUGAGGUCUUGUUUAUUUGCAAAGACAAGUAUAACAGAAUCUUGCAGGUCCUCGUGUCCGAGCAAUCGGAAAAGUUCAUCUUUCAUAAUCGAGAUUCUGGCUCUAUCUGUACUAUCUAUCACCACAAUGACAGCAUGAGUUCCCCGAUAAUAUGUUGCCCAUGAUGUCCUGAGUCUAUCUUGUCCCCCAAGAUCCCAAACCUCAAAUCGAAUGUUCUUGUAAACAAGCUCUUCAACGUUGCUGCCAACAGUUGGGUGAGUAGUGACAACCUCUCCUAAGUGCAACUUGUAAAGCGUGGUAGUCUUGCCUGCAUUAUCUAACCCAACCACGACAAUCUUGUACUCCUUUGCAGGAAACAACAUGAACCAAAACUUCGAUAUAAACGCUCCCAUCUUCUAUUUCAAGUGCUUUGAUUAAGGGAUUUGAGAUAGAGGGUACGAAUAUGAUGAAGGAUGGUAAUGGCUUCGCGUCUUGGAGGAGGAGGAGAGGACCCAAAUGCAAAAGAAAGC
rnacentral:misc_RNA from 1 species